rnacentral:rRNA from 1 species
GAUGAACGCUGGCGGCGUGCCUAAUACAUGCAAGUCGAUCGAACGGACGAGAAGCUUUCUUCUCUGAUGUUAGCGGCGGACGGGUUAGUAACACGUGUAUAACCGACCUAUAAGACUUGGAUAACUUCGGGAAACCGGAGCUAAUACCGGAUAAUAGUUUGAACCGCAUGGUUCAAAAGUAAAAUACGGUCUUGCUGUCACUUAUAGAUGGAUCCGCUCUGCAUUAGCCAUUUGGUAAGGUAACGGCUUACCAAGGCAACGAUGCAUAGCCGACCUGAGAGAGUAAUCGGCCACGCUGCACAUGAGCCGCGAUCCAGACGCCUAAGGAAGGCAGCAGUAGGGAAUCUGCCGCAAUGGGCGAAAGCCUGACGGAGCAACGGCGCGUGAGUGAUGAAGGUCUUCGGAUCGUAAAACGCUGUUCUUAGGGAAGAACAAAUGUGUGAGUAACUGUGCACAUCUUGCCGGUACCUAAGCAGAAAGCCCCGGCUAACUACGC